rnacentral:rRNA from 1 species
CCUACGGGUGGCAGCAGUGAGGAAUAUUGGUCAAUGGGCGGACGCCUGAACCAGCCAAGUCGCGUGAGGGAAGACUGCCCUAUGGGUUGUAAACCUCUUUUGUCAGGGAGCAAUUGGCGCUACGUGUAGCGUUAUCGAGAGGACCUGAAGAAAAAGCAGCGGCGAACUCCGUGCCUGCAGCCGCGGUAAUACGGAGGAUGCGAGCGUUAGCCGGUUUUAUUGGGUUAAAAGGGUGCGUAGGCGGAAUGCCAAGUCAGCGGUAAAAUCGCGGGGCUCAACCUCGCUCCGCCGUUGAAACUGGCGUUCUUGAGUGGGCGAGAGGUCUGCGGACUGCGUGGUGUAGCGGUGAAAUGCAUAGAUAUCACGCAGAACUCCGAUUGCGAAGGCAGCAUACCGGAGCCCAACUGACGCUGAGGCACGAAAGCGUGGGUAUCGAACAGGAUUAGAUACCCCGGUAGUC